UUUAGCUAGGAGCAGGCCACAUGCUUUGAUGGAUAGUCCCACCAGGGGCACACCGAGGAGGAAGAGUUAAUUCACCCAAAGGAUGCUGGGGUGCUGUUUUCAGAAAAAAAAAAGGGGGGAGGGGGGAAUAGAUUCCAGAUACAACAAAAAACCAAAGAGACAAAUACUUCUGACUGCAAAAAUAUGGUAAAUGAUUAAAUGUACAGAUACAAUAGUCUAAAAAAUAUUACCUACAGUUCUUGGUAGCUAUUCUUUUGUUUCCAAUGAUGAAAUGAGUGCAUUUUCAUUCUGGUUAAGAAAAAAAAAGUUAUUCAAUGACUUGUCCUACAGCUGCUUUACUUGAAGGCUGAAGAACGUUUUGGAGAAUAAUUGUCUCUUGAAUGUACUUACAUAUCCAAUCUGUUGUAAUAAAGAAAAAAACCCAUAUAAAUCAUUGAAAAAGAGAAACGUUAUUGAAUGAACGUCUCCAGAGGAUCGAUGGGCUUUUAAAGGGUGACCCAUGCCUUUACCUAUGGCCAGAGAGAGAUAGAAGUCAACAUCACAGGUGCCAGAGGUAAGAGCAAAAGUCAGUGUCACAGGUGCUGAGAGUGUUUUGCAAGAGUUUGGCGCACUCCGCUAGAGGAGGCAGCCAGGCAUCAGGCAGAUAAAUGUGGCACAGAGGGAAACAGAAACGCAGCAACGUAGGCUGCAUGCAUUUAUUCGGCUGCUUGCAAUCUCAGGCUGCGAUUGCAAGACGGAUGGACAUUUUGGAAUGGUUAUCCUGUGUUAUCUUUGAAAGUAACAAGCUUCUGGUUUUAAUUAAUCUCGGCCUCUGACUUUUGCAUGGAAAGAGAAGUCACUGAGCUCAUGUUGCGGGGUCUGCUUCCAGAGCUGACACAUUCAGGCGUCUGCGUGUGGAAGCGCCGGAGGCAGGCUGGGUUACUGUCCUGCGGAACAUCUGCACAGUGUUUAUCAUUUUGGCAUUGGAGAGCUCUGUAAAUACGUGGAGACCCUUGGCAACCUCGGGAUUUGUUUCCAAAUGUGCCAUCGAUGAAUAACAGCACAAAUGAGCAAAAUCAUCCAGACGGC
rnacentral:lncRNA from 1 species